GGAAACAGUAGUGUUAAGAAAAUCAGAGAAGAGUAUCCGAGAAAGAAGACCAACAGUGUCAAAUACAGCACAUAGACUGAGAAAGGUCCUCCAACAAAUGGUAAAGAAACUCUGGAUCCUGGAAAACCGGCCAGUAUGAAAUCUGGGGCAGGAUGGAGAUGGGGAGAUCAGAUGUAGCUGUAGCACCUGCAGGAGGAGUUUCCAAGCUGAUCUCCACUUACCCAGGAUGAUGGCUAUGAUCACUGCGCUAGAAGAUUUCCUAUUCCAAAGGCUCUUGGAUUCAGGGUCUCCAUCAGGAUUUUCGGGGAGAAGGUGGUCAAGAUGGUGGUGGUGGUUUGAUUUGCUUGGCACAUACUGCCCCCUGUCUCUCCCUCAGAGUGCUUUGCUUCAGCUUGCUUUCUCUGUGAGCAGCAGUUAACCAAUUAGCAUUUGGUGGGGUUGGGUGACCUCUUCUCUAAAGGAGCUACCUCUUUGGAUAGUGACUAUGAGCACUGGGAUGGAAGCUGUACUAUGUACCAGGCACUGUUCUAGGUGCUGAAAUACAAAGAUGAUAAUGUAAUAUCUAUCCCGUGGCUUCAAAAAGCUUACGUUCUAGUGGGUGAGAUAUAACAUAUAUAUUGAUAAGUAAAUAACAGAUAAUUUGAGAUGGGAGAGAAUACAUCAAUCAAUCAAUAAAUCAACAAGUAUUUGUUAAGGAUUUACUAUAUGCCAGGCACUGUG